rnacentral:pre_miRNA from 1 species
AAUAAACCAAUUUUUCACUUUUUACUUUUAAUUUUUGACUCUUCGUCUUAUUUAAAUUUUUUAUAAUUGAUAUUUUUGUUUUUAUUAGAUGAUAAAUCAUAAAUAGUACUUUACGUGUGACUAAUUUUUUUUUUAAUUUUAUAAAUUUUUUUAAAUAAGACGAAUAAUCAAACGGUGAACACGAAAAUC